GGGAUUUUGCACAGAGACCUGAAGCCUGAAAACAUUUUGUUUGAUAUCAGCAACAAACUGUUUAUCGCAGAUUUUGGAGCAAACAGAAAACUGGAUUUGGCACAGCCAACGUUGCUGUCUCAAAUGGCUGGAUCUUUUUCUUGGUCAAGUUAUGAGGAUGUUGGAGGCAUACAAUACAAGUACAAGAAAGAGUCAGAUAUCCAGGAAAUAGAACCACAGAUCUCCCUUUCCCUUGAUAUGUCAGAGGAAGAAGAUGAUGAUGAUGAUGAACCAACAGAAGUAGAUGAUGAAGUAACCAAGAAAGUCAUCAGAAAAAAGCAGUUAAGACUGGGAUGAAAAAGGAUGAAAAUGUCCUUGAAUGCAGUUUGAAGGGUAUCCAAGUGAAAAUGUCCUCAAACACCGCACACAAACAUGUCUACGACAAGAAAAAUUACUGCUUCUAUUGUCAGAAGCCUUUCGGAAAAGUUUCAAGACACCUGAUGCGAAAACAUCAAGAUGAAGUUGACGUUGCAAAGGCACUUGCACACAAGCAAGGAUCCACAAUGCGCAGCCUUCUUCUGAGCAAAAUAUGGAAUGAGGGAAACUACCGAAAUAACUGUUCAGGCCUAUCCUCUGGUUAAGGACAAAUAGUACCAAAAAAACAAACAACCUACAUGUCAUCAGCAACAGACCAUAUACCAUGCCAGUUUUGUUUGGCUAUGGGGGGGG